ACAAAUGAGUACGAAGCAAACUUGAGCCGCGCCAUAAGACAAUCAACAAAUCUGGGGUCCAGAAUAAUCAGUACUGUAGUGUUCACAGCAAAAAUAUUCGUGGUUUUGUUCUGAACGGGAAUGUGCCUUGUUAUUGAAGUUGAAUUCAAGUACAAGCUUGGUUGGAGAUUUGGCGAGGGCGCUGGAUGCACCCAAUCCCUAAUUGGGAACUAUGUAAACAAAAAAACAUUUCCGUGGAUCUGUACAUCUGGUUGUGGAAGCUCAACUGUAACUCUGUCAUCCAAAGGAUAUGUAUGUACAGCUGCUAGCAGGUUACAAGACUGGGAGCAAGGGGAAUAUUCAUUUAGACAUACAUUUACAUCUGAUGGAAGAUUCACGGUUAGUUUCGAAAGCUGUUGUUGGAUAGCCCUACACUAUGGAAAAGGUGACGGUAAUUGGAGUCUUCCAACGACAGUAGAUUUACGUACACGAUCUGAUUUACACGUUCCUAACAGUAGUCCGUUAGCGGCUGGAAAACCUAUAUACACUAUCAAACUAGGCUGCACCCAGAAAAUCACGAUACCAGUCUUGGACCAAGAUGGCGACAACGUUAAAUGUAGAUGGGCCUCUGGCGACGAAUGCAAGUCUGCAUGUAACCGCAUACCAAAUACAGUUUUAGACGAGAGUAAAUGUACAUUGACGAUAUCUGCAAAAGGAACGGCAAACGAUAUGUAUGCAGUUGCGAUCAUGGUAGAGGACAGGCCUACAUCUUCAAUUACAUUGAACGGACAAGUUUUUACACCGCAAGAUGUACUGUCUUCUAUUCCGGUUCAGUUUUUGGUCAAUACACCUGAGAUUCCGUCAAGGUCUUGCUCAGACAGACCUGUCUUUGUAAGUCCGACACCAGCAGAAUCUGACGUGAUUGUUGUAUUUCCAGGACGGUCAGUCUUUGUCAGCUUUUAUGCAUCAUCUAGAGGAACUAGUAUUACCGCAUUUCUUGUAAUUGGGCCGCCGGGUGUACAACAGUCAACAAUACGUCAGUUGUCUUUGAGACGUGGUGUAUAUUCAACAGAUAUAGCAUGGACACCAUCAGCCGCUGACAGAGGUCCCCAGUCUUUAUGUGCCGAAGCAACUGAUGCGUAUCUAAUUAGCAGCGACAUGAGGUGUUUGACAAUAGCUGCUUGGGAUAUAAAUCCGUGUAACAGCAAGCCAUGUCAGAACAAUGGCACAUGUUCGCGGGUUGGAUAUACUAAAGACUUUGUGUGUACUUGCCUGCCUGGGUACACAGGUCUGCAAUGUCAAAUUGACAUCAAUGAGUGUGCGAGUAAUCCAUGCCUACACGGUGCCACGUGUUUUGAUCUCAUCAACGAAUACUUCUGUGGUUGUGUUUCUGGAUACACAAAUGUCAAUUGUCAGACAGAUAUAAAUGAAUGCGAGUUGCAAACAUGUGAGAAUGGUGGUACAUGUCAAGACCACGUUAAUGCUGCAGUAUGUGACUGCGCUCCGGGGUUCACUGGGGAAAUCUGUCAAACUGGAAUUGAUCUCUGUGAGUCAGAUCCAUGCGAGAACAACGGCGUAUGUCUUUACAACGAAACUACUGGUUAUGAGUGUGAGUGCACUAACGGCUGGUAUGGUUCACAUUGUGCGAUCAGGCAAGAAAAUGAAACUCUUUAUAACGACACCCAAAUGACAACGGAUUACAUGCAUUACUCAAGCUGUGAUUGUUUCUUCGGCCACGGCAAACAAGAGCUCUGCUAUGUAUACAACAAUAAAAAGGGUAUUGGCUUUGGUACCAUAGGAGUCAUUCUUGGAAUCGGUACUGCUGUAAUGAUAUACAGUAUCAUUGAAUGUUUCUUCAACAAGCAUGGGCCAUGUCUCCAUCAAGAACACAUGGACGAACAACAAAACAUUGACGACAACAAGGAGAAAACAGGAAAAGAAAGCGAAACUACUGAAGAAGUUAAAGAUGAAGAUGUGAAGCACAAGAACGAAAACGUCGUCACACAUAGGCAUCGCAAAUGUUGGGCAUGUGAUGUUAAAUACUCGCGCGAUCCUCCGGCUCCAUGGUUCAAACCAUAAAAUAUAAAGGAUAUAGUGAUCGCGUAAGGUGUUUCUCCUGUGGGGGUGAACUACGCAAUUGGGAAUAUGGUGAUGAGCCGUGGGAAGAACAUGCCAGAUGGUUUCCAGAAUGCAUUUUCUUAAGAGAGCAGAAAGGAGAAAAGUACACCAGGAUCCACAGCGAACAGCAAGCAGAAAAUGUUAGCAUUGAUAAAAGAUGUAUGGGGUCAGCUACUGGCGAGAAAUGUAGUUGUCAUUGCCGUACCCGUUUAAAACUCAAAGGAGUACAUUUCGUGAUUUGUAACCCGUUUUGUCCCGCUGGUACCUUGACACAUUAAAUAUUUCUCAGCCACGAAGGAAAAAAACACAAAAUAAGGUCCUAGACAUUUAAUGCACAGGAUUCAUCGAUUUAGAAACACGUUACGCUGAUGUGUAUUAACGUCUUUAACCAUAUACUGAUCAAUGUGAAAGAAAUGACCCUGUAAGUCAACCAGACAUUCCGGAUCCUAACCUUAUUUACAGAAAAUCUGAUUACGUAUUACCAGAAGAAACAAGUCAGUUUGCUAUUCCUUGUUUAAAUGUCAACACAGCGGAAGAUAAAAAAAGUGCUGGAGGAAAACCGAAGACUGAAGGAGCUAAUUACUUGCAAGAUUUGCUAAGACCACGAAGUGUAUAUUGUGUUUCUACCUUGUGGCCAUCUUGUUUCUUGUCAAGAUUGUGCGCGUAUGCUUGAAACAUGUGCUGUUUCUCGGGCUACUAUACAAGGAAAAGUCAUGAUUAUGACAUAAGAUUUACUCAGAAAUUAACGUUGGACAUUUUUUUUAUAAUAUUAUACUUAAUUAUAGUAAUAAUGACGUCAAAAGUGCCGGCAAAAAUGUUUGCUGACUAGUGACUAUAUGGUGCAAUAGUUUGGUUUUAAAUACAUACUGUGUCUCCUUUCAAUUAGUUUUUCAAGCCAUUGUUUUUUAAAGAAACAUCAAACUGGAAUUAUCUUUAUGUUUAUAGAAUAUAUCAGUUUUAUUCCUCUACAUCUAUAUGUAUUCAAUUUGUACUGUCUAUUCGUACAUUUACAAUAUUACUAAAAAUCCAUAUGUACUGAUAAUAAAGCACUUUAAAAGAC